rnacentral:rRNA from 1 species
AUUGAACGCUGGCGGCAGGCCUAACACAUGCAAGUCGAGCGAGCGGCGGACGGGUGAGUAAUGUCUGGGAAACUGCCUGAUGGAGGGGGAUAACUACUGGAAACGGUAGCUACUACCGCAUACCAUCAGAUGUGCCCAGAUGGGAUUAGUUAGUAGGUGGGGUAACGGCUCACCUAGGCGACGUUCCCUAGCUGACCUGAGAGGAUUACAAGACACACUGGAACUGAGACACGGUCCAGACCACUACGGGAGGCAGCAGUGGGGAAGUUUGCACAAUGGGCGAAAGCCUGAUGCAGCCAUGCCGCGUGUGUGAAGAAGGCAGUCGGGUUGUAAAGCACUUUCAGCGGGGAGGCGUUACCCGCAGAAGAAGCACCGGCUAACUCCGUGCCAGCAGCCGCGGUAAUAC